AAACCUUUAAAAUCAGAGUUGAAUGCAACAAAUUGGUCAUGUGGCAGAGAGAGAAGACAGACAAGAAAAGAAGAGAACAAAGUCAUGAGAAAGUAACCCUAGGUAAACACAUGAUAAUUUUCUGUGGAUUCUCAGAAGCCAAACACAACUCAUCAUUAGAUGCAAUUUGACUUGAUAAAUCCAGUAUUUACAUCUCAGAAUUCUGUGAACUGUGGGAUUCAACAUCGGUUUUAUCAACUGCAUCUACUGGGCUUCAACUGAGAGAGACUUUGCCCCACACUUAGACCAGUGCUACAAAGAGAUGACCUAUCUCUCUGGGAUGGAUUAAUGGAAAGUAUUCAGUUCACUGGAACUCCAUCAACUCCUCAGUUGUGCAAAGGAACUUAGGAUGUCACUUCUAGGCUGAGAGGAAAUUAUCUAUGCCUUGAUUGCGUUGCAAAGUAAGGGGUUGGGGAGGGGCAAUCGAGGAGGGAGGGGCAAGUGGGGUGGAGAGAGCAAUCCAUUUUAAAGAAUAAGGAUACUUCUUUAUAAAAAUUGACAACAAUAAAUAACGUUGUGGCAAAAA